UGGGGAAUUUUGGACAAUGGGCGCAAGCCUGAUCCAGCAAUGCCGCGUGCAGGAUGAAGGCCUUCGGGUUGUAAACUGCUUUUGUACGGAACGAAAAGGCUCUGGCUAAUACCUGGGGCACAUGACGGUACCGUAAGAAUAAGCACCGGCUAACUACGUGCCAGCAGCCGCGGUAAUACGUAGGGUGCGAGCGUUAAUCGGAGUUACUGGGCGUAAAGCGUGCGCAGGCGGUUUUGUAAGACAGAGGUGAAAUCCCCCGGGCUCAACCUGGGAACUGCCUUUGUGACUGCAAGGCUGGAGUGCGGCAGAGGGGGAUGGAAUUCCGCGUGUAGCAGUGAAAUGCGUAGAUAUGCGGAGGAACACCGAUGGCGAAGGCAAUCCCCCUGGGCCUGCACUGACGCUCAUGCACGAAAGCGUGGGGAGCAAACAGGAUUAGAUACCCCUGGUUAGUCCACGCCCCUAAAGCGAUGUCAACUGGUUGUUGGGGUCUUAAUUGACUCAGUAACGAAGCUAACGCGUGAAGUUUGGACCG
rnacentral:rRNA from 1 species